rnacentral:rRNA from 1 species
GAUGAACGCUGGCGGCGUGCCUAAUACAUGCAAGUCGAGCGAACAGACGAGGAGCUUGCUCCUUUGACGUUAGCGGCGGACGGGUGAGUAACACGUAGGUAACCUACCUAUAAGACUGGGAUAACUUCGGGAAACCGGAGCUAAUACCGGAUAAUAUUUCGAACCGCAUGGUUCGAUAGUGAAAGAUGGCUUUGCUAUCACUUAUAGAUGGACCUGCGCCGUAUUAGCUAGUUGGUAAGGUAACGGCUUACCAAGGCAACGAUACGUAGCCGACCUGAGAGGGGGAUCGGCGACACUGGAAGUGAGACAGGGUCCAGACUCCUACGGGAGGCAGCAGUAGGGAAUCUUCCGCAAUGGGCGAAAGCGUGACGGAGCAACGCCGCGUGAGUGAGGAAGGUCUGGGGAGCGGAAAACUGUGUGAUUAGGGAAGAACGAACGUGGAAGUAACUGUGCAGGUCGUGACGGUACCUAAUCAGAAAGCCACGGCUAACUACGUG